GGUCCCUUCGUCUAUCGGCUAGGACAUGGCCCUCUCAAGGCUAAAAGAUGGGUUCGAUUCCCAUAGGGACCG
rnacentral:tRNA from 1 species